rnacentral:rRNA from 1 species
CAUACCUAUACGUUGCCUCGGCGGAUCAGCCCGCGCCCCGUAAAAAGGGACGGCCCGCCCGAGGACCCCUAAACUCUGUUUUUAGUGGAACUUCUGAGUAAAACAAACAAAUAAAUCAAAACUUUCAACAACGGAUCUCUUGGUUCUGGCAUCGAUGAAGAACGCAGCAAAAUGCGAUAAGUAAUGUGAAUUGCAGAAUUCAGUGAAUCAUCGAAUCUUUGAACGCACAUUGCGCCCGCCAGUAUUCUGGCGGGCAUGCCUGUUCGAGCGUCAUUUCAACCCUCAAGCUCAGCUUGGUGUUGGGACUCGCGGUAACCCGCGUUCCCCAAAUCGAUUGGCGGUCACGUCGAGCUUCCAUAGCGUAGUAAUCAUACACCUCGUUACUGGUAAUCGUCGCGGCCACGCCGUAAAACCCCAACUUCUGAAUGUUGACCUCGGAUCAGGUAGGAAUACCCGCUGAACUUAAGCAUAUCAAUAA